CCUCCAGCAGCUGCAGAUGGAAACAGACAGCUGACAGCGUUUGUGUUUCGCUUCAGAAAAACUCUCUGCUUCCACUCCGACAGCAUGGACAACAUGGACAACAUCUUCGAUCCCAGCUUUGCAGCUACUCUCAUGAAGCUCGAUCCAGAGGACGGCCCGCAGUUUGUGGAGUACUUUAGAACUCACGCCAUGUUGUCGAAGGAGAAAGCACAGCUCCAGGCGUCAGUCAGAGAUCAGAAGAAGCUGCUGGUUGAGAACGGGAAACUGAAGAAAGACAUCGAGCAGCUCAGAACUCAGCUGCAGGACAAACAGAAGAGACGCACCGCUAAAGCUCUUUUCUCCCCGGCCCCGCCUCCUACGACUGCAAGCCCCACCCCCAACACACCUGUCAAUCAGUCCCGGUCCCCUGCUGGAGCAACAGCUGCUGUUCCCAACAUUUCUCAUCCUCCCUCCUCCCAGGACCGGAGAGACAGACAGAACAGGAGGAAGAGAGGAGACAGGAAAGCUCGUCCUUCUUCUGACUCCCUCUCUUUGGGGGCGGAGCCUCGAGUCGACGCGUCGCGACUGGAUCUACGAGUCGGACGGAUCCUCAGUGUCCGCCGCCACCCGCUGGCCGAGACGAUGUCCGUACAGGAAGUGGACGUCGGAGAGAACGCUCCCCGGACCGUCGUCAGCAAGCUAGGAGCUACCACAAACCUUGAGGAGCUGCAGGGCGUUCUCGCUGUGUUGUUAUGCAACGUGAAGGCCUGUAAACUGAGGGGCGUGGCCUCUAAGGCCCGCCUCCUCGUUUGCUCCGCUUCGGAAGGCGACUGCACAGAGCGACUGGCCCCGCCCCCAGGCUCCGAGCCCGGGGACAGAGUCACCUUCCUCAACUACCCAGGUGAGCCGGACAAAGAGCUCCAGGCCAAGCAGAGGAUCUGGGAGAUUCUUCAGCCCGACCUGCAGGUGGACUCAAAGGGAGUCGCUAACUAUAAGGGCUGUGGGUUCGAGGUGAAAGGGAAGGGUCUGUGCCGGGCCCCCUCCCUCACCAACUGCAACAUCAAAUAGACGAAACAAGAGAUUUAAAGGGACACGCAUAGGAAACUGUAUCCUGUGGUUUCACAAGCAGCUGAAAGCAUCGCCUGCUCAGUGCAUGACGCUGCUCGCCCUCAGCGUUUACUCUCCUAUCAUCAUCAGAAGAACAGGGAAACAUGGACGGCGACAUCAAGGAAGCUAGGAAACAAGGAAACACCGAUCACGAUGAACGAAGACGUCAUCCUGCUGAGGCAUAUUAACAUCAGAGUUUGUAUAUCUGAGUAUGAGCUUUACCUCUGCGGCCGUAUAACUGUUAUCUGCACAAAUUAAAUCAUUGCCUGUUUCUCUGCAGGCCUUUUCCUCUUGGCUAACCGUAUCACUACAAACAGUGCUGGAGAAAGACCCGGUACAUGUGGUCCAACCAGAGGAGGGUUUUCCAGCUUCAGAUGUGAAAAGUAAACAAUAUUUUGGAAAAUGGAAGCUGAAUAAAGGACAACGUUAGCCUAGCUUGGCUUCAAACACUUGAGACUGGGGAUAAUAGCUAGCUUAGCACUGACACAGUUUGAAAACAGAUCUCUGACUUGGCUCUAAAGUCACUCACUUACAUGUUAAUGGUAUUUUCUUUCUAAGAGCAGAAUUAUUUCUCGAUUUAAAGGGUGUUUUAGUGCUAGAGUCCACCUGGGAGAACAUAAGGUGGUAACCUGGACUGUUCUGUUAUCCCUUAUUGUCCUAAAAAGAGUUCAAUCAACGUGAUUUAGCCAUGUUGAGAGAAAGAUAGCGUAGAUGUUUACUAAACUCAUUUGGUAAAUCUACUUUACAACUUUACAUAUCUUACAGGCUUAAACUAGAUCCAAGAUUGUCCCAAAAAACUAAGCACACAAACACGUUUGAGGUGACCAAUCCUUUUAAUCAUAGAAACACAGAUUCCUUCAGAGAGCGAUAAACAUACAAAUAGUUACAGCAACAUUCAUCCAGAACACAGUGGCACAACUCAGAAAAACACGCCUCUCGAAACACUGCAAUCAAUCCCAACUUCUGCAGAAACCCAGGGCCUUUAAUGCUUUGGCGGGAAACGUUUGGGUUUUAACGAGGCCACAUUUCACAGGUUUGGGAUGUGAACGAGUUUCUAUUGACCCCAGUUUCCAUAUUGCUGUUAUUCUGACAGAUUUGUGGUACAUUUGUUGUUCUAGGGGUUUCAGUGGAACAUUUAACAUCAACAAAGUCCUUGAUUUUCUUCAGAUGAGUCCUCAACAGGUUGAAACACAUCAGAGUUCAACUAAUCUCAGUAGCUUUAAGGCUAAUAGCUAAAGAUCCCUUGUUUAUCAGAAUCAAACCAAAGCUGAAAAGACAUUUCUACAGAGUUAUGUCUUUUGUUAUAGCAAACAUUCACCGGUCAUUCAAGGUUAAUUGUUCCUUUGUGAAGUAUAGCUUAAUUGCAGUUUAGCAGGACGGGCAAAUGAAACAGGUGAUUGUACUUCUUGGUGUUUGGUGAGUUGUCUAGUGUUUUCUCCAUUUGUGCAACACCAUUGGAUAUAAGUAAUUAAAUAUCUUAAUAAAUAAGUCACCAGUGCAAUGUAGGACUUUCUUCAGUAUUUGGUCUAAUGAAGCCAUUCUACGACGUACCAAUGACACAUUCAUGUAACGCUCCACCUGGCCUUCAUCUCAAAUGUAGAACAUUCCUGUAGAGGGUAUUUUCAAAAUAAAAGCGUGUGAUUUAUAUCUGUUGGUCUUUACAGCCUACAUAACAACAGACUCCACUUUAAAUAUCAGUGUUAUUCCUGUCGGUGUAAGGGAAGACAAACUGGAUUUCAAAGCGGUUUCUGCUCGUCUAGACAGCGGAGGAGGAGGAAACCAGAUCUGAACCACAAAGAGUUUCACUCCCGCCUGACAGGAAGCUCAUUAGCAUCGUUUUGAUUGCUUAGUCACCCCCCUCCCUCAGCAGCGGG